rnacentral:tRNA from 1 species
GGAGAGAUGUCCGAGUGGUUGAAGGAGCACGCUUGGAAAGCGUGUUUACGGGCAACCGUAACAAGGGUUCGAAUCCCUUUCUCUCCGCCA